rnacentral:rRNA from 1 species
GUAGGUGGCAAGCGUUGUCCGGGAAUUAUUGGGGCGUAAAGCGCGCGCAGGCGGUCCUUUAAGGUCUGAUGUGAAAGCCCACGGGCUCAACCGUGGAGGGUCAUUGGAAACUGGGGGACUUGAGUACAGAAGAGGAAAGCGGAAUUCCACGUGUAGCGGUGAAAUGCGUAGAGAUGUGGAGGAACACCAGUGGCGAAGGCGGCUUUCUGGUCUGUAACUGACGCUGAGGCGCGAAAGCGUGGGGAGCAAACAGGAUUAGAUACCCUGGUAGUCCACGCCGUAAACGAUGAGUGCUAAGUGUUAGGGGGUUUCCGCCCCUUAGUGCUGCAGCUAACGCAUUAAGCACUCCGCCUGGGGAGUACGGCCGCAAAGGCUG